AGAGUUUGAUCCUGGCUCAGAACGUACGCUGGCGGCACGCCUAACACAUGCAAGUCGAACGAAGUAGCAAUACUUAGUGGCAGACGGGUGAGUAACAUGUGGGUAUCUGCCCUUUGGCCUGGAAUAACACGAGGAAACUUGUGCUAAUACCGGAUAAGUCUUUACGGAGAAAGCUUUAUGCACCAUUGGAUGAGCCCGCACUUGAUUAGUUUGUUGGUGGGGUAAUGGCCUACCAAGACUGUGAUCAAUAGCUGAUUUGAGAGGAUGAUCAGCCACAUUGGGACUGAGACACGGCCCAAACUCCUACGGGAGGCAGCAGUGGGGAAUCUUGCACAAUGGAGGAAACUCUGAUGCAGCGAUGCCGCGUGAGUGAAGAAGGCCCUUGGGUUGUAAAGCUCUUUCGUCGGGGAAGAAAAUGACUGUACCCGAAUAAGAAGGUCCGGCUAACUUCGUGCCAGCAGCCGCGGUAAUACGAAGGGACCUAGCGUAGUUCGGAAUUACUGGGCUUAAAGAGUUCGUAGGUGGUUGAAAAAGUUAGUGGUGAAAUCCCAGAGCUUAACUCUGGAACUGCCAUUAAAACUUUUCAGCUAGAGUAUGAUAGAGGAAAGCAGAAUUUCUAGUGUAGAGGUGAAAUUCGUAGAUAUUAGAAAGAAUACCAAUUGCGAAGGCAGCUUUCUGGAUCAUUACUGACACUGAGGAACGAAAGCAUGGGUAGCGAAGAGGAUUAGAUACCCUCGUAGUCCAUGCCGUAAACGAUGUGUGUUAGACGUUGGAAAUUUAUUUUCAGUGUCGCAGGGAAACCGAUAAACACACCGCCUGGGGAGUACGACCGCAAGGUUAAAACUCAAAUGAAUUGACGGGGACCCGCACAAGUAGUGGAGCAUGUGGUUUAAUUCGAAGAUACGCGCAGAACCUUACCAACACUUGACAUGUUCGUCGCGACUCUAAGAGAUUAGAGUUUUCGGUUCGGCCGGACGAAACACAGGUGCUGCAUGGCUGUCGUCAGCUCGUGUCGUGAGAUGUUGGGUUAAGUCCCGCAACGAGCGCAACCCUCACUUUUAGUUGCCAUCAUUAAGUUGGGCACUCUGAAAGAACUGCCAGUGAUAAGCUGGAGGAAGGUGGGGAUGACGUCAAGUCCUCAUGGCCCUUACGUGUUGGGCUACACACGUGCUACAAUGGUAUCUACAACAGGAAGCAAAACUGCGAAGUUAAGCAAAUCCCUAAAAGAUACCUCAGUUCGGAUUGCACUCUGCAACUCGAGUGCAUGAAGCUGGAAUUACUAGUAAUCGUGGAUCAGCGUGCCACGGUGAAUGCGUUCCCGGGUCUUGUACACACCGCCCGUCACACCAUGGGAGUUGGUUCUACCUUAAGGCAAGGUUUCAAACCCUUGACCACGGUAUAGUCAGCGACUGGGGUGAAGUCGUAACAAGGUAGCCGUA
rnacentral:rRNA from 1 species